rnacentral:ribozyme from 1 species
UUUGUUGUUGUUGUUUGUUUUAAAUUUUUUUCGUUGUUGUUUUGUCUUCUACUUCUUUGUCGUUUUCUUAAAAACAAAAA